UGCCAAUGAGGGCCAUUGUCCCCAGUUUUAUAAUGAUGUACAGACAUGUGGAAUUUGUUAACCAUCUGUAAAUUGGACAAGCACAGCCUCUGAUCUAAACCAUGCAGAAGUGGCUUGUCUGUGUUCCAGGCCAGGUAUGGCCAAAGAGAGAGAAAAAACGCCAUUGAGGAAGUGAACACAGCAAUGCUCCAGGCAGCAAACUGGCAAUGUGAGCCCUUCCCAUGCACACCAGGCACAGCCCUGCCGCUGCUGACCCUCAGAAGAGUCUCCAGACCUCUCUUCAGUAAAUGCAGACAAUGACUUUGCAGGUGCCAGGCCUACCAUGGCAGUCACCUUGCAGGUCACCUCAGGUCUGUUGUGCCUGACAGACAUGGUGAAGCAUCAUGGCAUCCCUCUUUGUCCAGUGCAUCAACCUGAGCAACCACCAGGCAAGAGGCCCCCAUGUCUAGUCUACGAGUGCUGAUGGCAAGUGCACUUGUGAGACUCGGGAAACUGGAGAGGAGAUGCUUCUUCAUUUUUAUCAAGCAGGAGGAAUCCACAGACCAGGACAGAAAGGAGGGUCUCCUCAGAAGACACAGGCAGCCUCUGAUUUUUAACAUAAAUGUGUCCUUAUUCAAACCAGCUUUCGCAUAGACAACAGAUAAGUGGUUCUUGUUUUGUUCUGGGAGGCCAUUUCAUUCACUGAACUGGUGGAGUUAAUACAACUUACAGUUUUUGGACCGUUAUCUGCUGCGUCUGGAACUGGUUACUAUCUGCUGUGCCUGUGAUGUCUGGCUCUCCUCUCAGCACUGGUGUUUCCCAGCUUUCCAAGAGUGUUUUAUAUGAAGCAUUUGUUUCUUCCCUGCUAGUUAUGGCUCCUUUGUUAGCUUCUUGCUGAUUUCUCUAGAUUUACAGUCCAGAAACAAUCUCAGAGCCCUACCCUCCUCUUGAGA